rnacentral:rRNA from 1 species
UAUAAUUUAAAGUAGGGCCUGCCCACUGAAUAUUUAAAGGGCCGCAGUAUUUUGACUGUGCAAAGGUAGCAUAAUCAUUAGUUUUUUAAUUGAAAGCUAGAAUGAAUGGUUUGAUGAAAAAAUUUCUUUCUUUAUUUAAUUUUAAAAUAAAUUUAUUUUUAAGUUAAAAAGCUUAAAUAAUUUUAAUAGACGAGAAGACCCUAUAGAGUUUAAUUUUUUAAAUAAAUAAAUUUUUAGAAUUAAAAAAUUUAAUUAUCUAAAAAAAUUUAAUUGGGGUGAUUAUAAAAUUAAAUUAACUUUUAUUAUUUGAAACCAUUAAUUUAUG